UACGUAGGGGGCAAGCGUUGUCCGGAAUCAUUGGGCGUAAAGCGCGUGUAGGUGGCUCGGUAAGUCUGCUGUGAAAGUCCAGGGCUCAACCCUGGAAAGCCGGUGGAAACUGUCGAGCUAGAGUCCGGAAGAGGCGAGUGGAAUUCCUGGUGUAGCGGUGAAAUGCGCAGAUAUCAGGAGGAACACCAAUGGCGAAGGCAGCUCGCUGGGACGGUACUGACGCUGAGACGCGAAAGCGUGGGGAGCAAACAGG
rnacentral:rRNA from 1 species